AACUCUGGUGGAGGCCCGCAGCGAUACUGACGUGCAAAUCGUUCGUCUGACUUGGGUAUAGGGGCGAACGACUAAUCGAACCGUCUAGUAGCUGGUUCCCUCCGAAGUUUCCCUCAGGAUAGCUGGAGCCCGGAAACGAGUUCUAUCGGGUAAAGCCAAUGAUUAGAGGCAUCGGGGGCGCAACGCCCUCGACCUCUUCUCAAACUUUAAAUAGGUAGGACGGCGCGGCUGCUUCGUUGAGCCGCGCCACGGAAUCGAGUGCUCCCAGUGGGCCAUUUUUGGUAAGCAGAACUGGCGAUGCGGGAUGAACCGGAAGCCGGGUUACGGUGCCCAACUGCGCGCUAACCUAGAACCCACAAAGGGUGUUGGUCGAUUAAGACAGCAGGACGGUGGUCAUGGAAGUCGAAAUCCGCUAAGGAGUGUGUAACAACUCACCUCUGCUGUACGGCCAAGGCGGAUGUACGGUACAGCAGACUUGGUCUAACUCUAGAAUAUUAUACAAUUUCCUAGCUAUUUACAUGUGCUGGAAUUGUAUUAGGUAUUCUAGAAUAUUUACAUGUUCACAUGUGCUAGAGUUGCCUAGAACCUUCCGGAAUUGGGCCAAGCUAGCACUCUUGGCCUUGUGUUGGCUCUCUAGCCCGAAAUUGUGGGCAAUUGGGCUAGCGAAUUGGGCGGUCCGCAACACUACGCACCUUCUCGUUGAAAAGCAGAGUUGAAAUAUCCAAAGUGAUUUCGCUGGAGCAAUACAUAGUCGUCGAUUCCUCUUGCGACACUUGUCUGUUCGGUGAUGCUGAAGGAGUCUCCACCUCACGGCGGCAAAAACUUGUAACCUCUGGAAGAUUCCCCAGACUCAAAGAUCUUAAUUGAGCAAACUCUAUCUUCUCAAUUGCAUUAUCAACUUCUUCCCCAAUUGCAAAAAUCUCUUUCAUCUUGCUGCAAUUAAUAACUGCAAUUCUCUCAAGUCUUGGAAGGCAUUUUUUAGUAGAGAGCCAAAAGAUAUUACUCAACUUAUCACAAUUAUAUACUUCUAUAUUUUUGAGUUCGUUGAAGGACUCUACUUUGAGCCGAUCAAUACAUAUCCUCUCCAUGUUGAUCAAAUUGUGAAGGCCAAGUGACUCCAAAAGAGGAAAGGCAUCACAAGCGACCAUCGCCCUUGAAUCGACGAUGCAAAAGAAGUCAGGAUUAUUUUGAACCCAGAGAACCUUCAAUUGUGAAAAGCCCUCCGUGUCCAAAUUGAAAAGAACGUUCUUGAUACCUCGCAGCUUGUCCAACAAUAAGUAUUCAACGCUAUUGACGCCCUGCAAUUUCAUGGAGCAAAUGUCCGUAAAAGCAAGCUUGAGCUUCAAUGCUCUUAAACUCUUGCAAUCACUGUCGAUAUAAAAGUGUCGCCGACUUUUAAACCAAGCUUGUCUGACUCUCAUGGGAUGCGUGAAUGACUCAUUUCCAAUAUGUAUUUUGAACCUUUCAAGCUUUCUGGCCAAAAAACGUUCUGGUAACAUACUGUCAUUUUUAACGUCAAUUUCUAGAGUGGUUAGCCGAGGUAAAUGCAUCAACUCAUCAAGGCUAGCAUUACUUCUUUUGCUGUUGGCUCUUUCAACCUCCCAUUCAAUGGAGCAAUUACCCAUAUACAAUUCUUCUAAUCGGGUUAAGCUUGAUAUGACAUUUGGGGCAAUAACUUUCAGACGGAAACAGUCUGUUAAAUCUAACAGCCUUAGCUUAGUCAGUUGACCCAGUGCUUUAGGCAUAUCAGAUUGCAAAAAGCUGAGGAUUUCUAGAUUUUCCAACUUUCCAAUAAUGGCUAUGUCUAUGCCUCCCAAAAUGCUUUGAUUAAGACAGAGUGUCUGAAGAUUUACUAGAAGACCAAUUGAAGAUGGCAAUGACAAUAACCGCAUUCUAGUCAAAUCCAAAACCCGAAGCUUUUUCGUCCUUUUGAAGAAGUUCUUAGGAAUAUUAGGCACAGAAAAAGAGUUCUUGGGAGACAUGACUAGAAGUUGAAGUUGUAGAGAUUCGGACCCUUCAGGAAUGUCAUUAACAAUACUAUCUUUAAAAGAAAUUGCAAGAUAUUUUUUUAGUGCAUCUGCAUCUGGCCAGUUCCACACAUCCUCAUUUCUCACCACAAAUCCAAUUUUGUCACGACAUGCAAUUGAAAUGGCAACAUCGCGAACAACAUCGUGCAUAGAAAUGUAUUUACUGCCACCAUCCUCAAGCAACAAACAAGAGUCUCUUAGUUUAUGGACACUUUUAAAUACACCCAAGCCCAUGCUGUAUUUGAACAAAUCCAUAAUUGGUGCUGGCGUAAUAAGACUACACAGUAAAAACGUUUUCUUGAGUUGCUCACCUCUUAAGUACUUGUAACUCAGCUCAAUUGUUGAGUAUGCCUCUGCUGGUACUCCUCCGUCGAAGCUUGCCUCUGAAGGCGUUUGGAGUUCUUGCAACGCAUUCUUCCACACAGGCAGCUCUUUGUUUCUCAGUGCCUUUGCUACUGUGGUUAAGGGCAAUAGGCAAACCUCCACAUGCCUUGGCUACCCUUGUUGCUAUAGGUUUUAACUCACGGUUUUCAACAUAAUCACCAGCCAUUAUCUUGAACAAUCUCCAGGCUUCUUGUUCAUUUAAAAUGCCAAUCGAGAAGUUUUUUUCAGAUUCUGUCCUUAACAGCACAUCAAGAUCUCUUGUUGUGAAUAAUAAUUUGCAUCCUCUGUGCUCAACUCCAAAAGGAAUUCCAAUAGUCCCCAAAUCAAGAGGUUUCCAGAUGUUAUCCAGAAUCACAAGGAUCUUUUUCUCAUUUUUCAAUCGCUCACAUAGCCUACUUGCUCUUCUAGAUUCAACUUCCUCGUGCAACUCCAGGCCCAACUUCUCGGCAAUUUCCUGUUGAAUCUUUUUUAUGUCUGGAGUUUGCGAAACCUCUGAAAAGACCACCGUAUCAAAGAGCUUGUCUGCCAUAGCUUGCCUGGCGACCUCCUGCACCAGUGUCGUCUUUCCAAUGCCGCCCAUGCCGUAGACCCCAAUGAUGCUGACAUCAACAACGAUCAAUGCAUUUUGUAUGGCUUUCAAAGUAGAAAGUCUUGAUUCGAAGGCCUCGUAGCCUUUGUGAGACUUGAGCCAUAUAUCCUCCGGAACGGUACGGUAGGAAAUUCUAUCAUCAAAUCUCCCAGCUUCUUCUCGGAGUUUAAAAAGGGCCUCCUUCUCUGUUUCUGCUUUCUUUCCAUGAUGAUAGCGAGCAAACCAAUCAGGAAACAGCCCCAUGAGACAUCGGCCAUCAUUUGCUUUCUCUUCGUCUUGAAUGAAUUUGGCUGCCUGCUCAAUGCUCUCGUUCGCAUUAACCAGCCAUUUCUCAACAUUCUCUUCAAUCUUUUCACCUUUUCUUUCAGCCUCAGAAACUCUGCGCUGAAUGCUUUCUCUUUCAACCUUGAGCCUAUGGAGUUCUGCCUUGAGAUUCUCAAAGUUGGCACCGGAGUUAUACCAGUAACUAAAUUCGCGUUGUGCGUGAGGGGACAAGCAGUUUACAACUCCUGGAACAAUGCUUUUCAAAAUGUCCAUCUUUUUUUUUUUUUUAGUAGUAACAAUGCUUUCCACCAUCCUGGAUCCCUUUUCUUUUUUUCGAAGUUUCUGACAAGAAAAUAAACAAUGAGCGAAACACAGAGAGAGUGAGGAGAAAAAGAAAAAGAAACGCAAAGAUGGACAGUUUAUCUGGUUGUGGAAGCGGAGAAAUGAAAGAAAUCGUAAUAGCUGUUAUGGAUCUGCUGAGAAGAUGGAAACAAGGAAAAGGUUUCUAGUUCAACAACUGGAUUGCGAGCGGAGAGACUAAUUAACAAAGACUGGAGAUUACAACAAAGCAGAUGCCAAGAGAAAAGUUGAUCCAGUGAAAUUCAAGAGAGUUGACAGCAAAAGGGAGCAAAGAUUAAUAACAAAACAGCAGUGACUACAAUGAACAAAAGCAUAUGCGUUUCUUGAUUGAGAAUGAGUGCAAAGAAUGAUCCUUAAUCAAUAAAAUAUCUAACAAUAUCUUCACCGAAAGUUUGAGACAUGUGAUCCUUAUUCCACUGCGUCAAUUACACUCCAGACCAAUGCUGCCGUCAUUAUCGAACGGUCGAUAUCCAACACUCGCACGAAGAUUCCAAGAAGUUGCGUGGCUGCCGACUUUUAGAUGCAAAGCCUCAUUGUGUCGAUGUUACACAAAAGAGAGCAGUCCGGGUAAUUGCCAAAACUUAGAACUAAACAGUAGCUUAGUCAGAAAAUCAAAUGCCAGUACCGUUAAAAUGACCGAUAAAAAUAUAAAGAAACCAAAGCUUUAAAAGAAAUCAGCCAAAUCACGAAGAUUGAAGAGUAAAUCUAUGGUUUUAGAUUUUUAUUUUAUUUUUUUAGAUAAUAGAUAUUAUUUUGAUGAAUUUUUAAUAUUAGAAUAAUGUUAGGAAUUUCGAUAGUAGAAUUCUAACUUGAGAUCCAAUUGUUAUGUAUCAUUUUUUUAUUGGAUAAUGAAUUUCAUAACUAGUAAAAUUAAUAUUUUGAUCAUCUAAUAAAUGACUAUCAUAUCAGUUGAGACUCAAUUAUUGGGAUCCUUAACAUUGCUCUUAGUAUUAAAUUGGACAUCUUAGCUAAAUCAAAUUAAAAAUCAAAUUAGAUUUUAGGCUUUUAUCCAACAUCUCUUUUUUUUUUUUUUGGGUCUAUUUGAAGUGAACGAAAUAAAAAUACAACAGGUUCAACAACUGGGCAAUUGAUGGUCAAGUAGAAGCAAAUCAAGGCUAAAUGGGAAAGAGAAAUGAUAUUUGUGCAAAACAAGGAGAAAAUCAGUGUAACUGAAGAGAAUCAAAGUGCUUUUGAGAUCAAAAAUUGAGGCAAGAAAAGGGUCGCUUGAUCGAAUGAAAAUGCUAAGAGCUGAUGGCAAAAGAGAAUAAAGUUAAAUAAGAAAACAGCUAGCGCUAGCAGCGACCACAAUAAACAGAAAAGUUGAGAUGGAUUUACAAUAUUUCUGUCUUUCUUCAUGCUUGAACAAAUAUUGCUCUAUAAAAAAAAAUAUUGAGCGUUUUUAUUAUUGGAAUCACAAAAGACCUACACAAUAUAGCAAGUGACUAGGAAUAAAUAAGAAUAUAUAACUCUCUCUCUCAUUCUCACUCUAGCUUUUAAUUGUCACUCAAAACCCAGAAUUCAUCCUUAAAGUGUAAGCAAAUAAGAGAUGACAGCGUCUGGUUGUCAUACGUGCCUUUUAGUUUUCGGAUGACAUGGCGUACACGUCUUUUGUAAACCGAACAUGACAUGUCGUACUCUUUGUUUUGAGAUCAUAUUUCAAACUCUUCAUGCUAUGAAUGAAAGAUAAACUACAAUCAUCAAAAUAUUUAGUGUUUAUUUGGUAAUGUAACGUCAUAGUUGUUGUGAAUUGAAAUUAUUUAUGUAAAAUAAAAGGAUUUGGGUCAUCGUUCGUUAUUUUCUGGCAAUAUUGUCUGGUCGUGACUAUUUGUUAAAUAUUAAAAAAAUAAAUUUAUAUUUAUUAAGUAUAAAAAAAAUAAACAAACAAAAAUAAAAGGAAAUGUUUAUACAUUACAUAAAAUAAUAAGAACAAUAUCAAUAUUUCACACUCUAUAAUUUAGUGAUGUGUUAUCCAACUGCCAUACAUUGGUCCCAAAUGGAGACUUAAAUAUUAAAGUCCAAAGUUAUUGUGAUGAUGACUUAUAAUUGCCAAACUUGACAUACGGGUAAUCAUGCAUUAUAAGGUGCUGAUUUCUUCAGAUCCGAACCUUAUUUUUCAUUUACAAAUAAAUAAAUGAUGUGACUUCACGGUUGGCGGGGUCCUUUGUGUCAUUUGGGCAUUUCACUAAAUGAUUGAUUGUAGCAGGAAGAUUCCUGGAAGUUACCAUUUGCCAAUUCUACUAACAUUUUCAAACUU
rnacentral:lncRNA from 1 species